rnacentral:misc_RNA from 1 species
UUGAUUCAUUUGUUUUUAAAUCCACUCAGACAUGCCGCUAUGGGUAUACAGAAGAGUUUUGGUCCCCUGGCGGACGGGGCGCCUUUGCUCCCUUGCGGGGGCUCGGGUACCGCUGUGUCCGCCGAGGCAACGUUUUGGGUAUAAGUUCACAAUGGGUUUGGGAGUUGUAAACUCGGUAAUGAUCCCUCCGCUGGUUCACCAACGGAGA